GGUGGUGUGGUGUAAUGGUAUCACGUGACGUUGUGGUGAACACGCAUGAUCCGUUUCAAUCUGGGUUCGAUUCCCAGCACCGCCA
rnacentral:tRNA from 1 species